CGCGUCUUGGUUGGAUUAUGACAGAUUAAAAAUGGAAUGUUUUGAGCGGCACGAAGAGUUAAAAUACAUGAUGGAGAAUAAAAAUAAAUACACGGAGCCGGCGCUAGCGAGGUAAACAUUUUCUCGCUAAAAGAAAUUAAAUGACAACACUACCGCAAAAACCAAUCGACAACCAUAAUAAGUAUCGCGGAAAAGUCACGGCGUUCAUUUCGGGAGAAUUUUAUAAU